AACGAACGCUGGCGGCAGGCCUAACACAUGCAAGUCGAACGCAUCCUUCGGGGUGAGUGGCGCACGGGUGAGUAACACGUGGGAAUGUAUCCUUUGGUUCGGAAUAACGUCUGGAAACGGACGCUAAUACCGGAUGAGCCCUUAGGGGGAAAGAUUUAUCGCCGAAGGAGCAUCCCGCGUCUGAUUAGGUAGUUGGUGGGGUAAAGGCAUACCAAGCCGACGAUAUCUAGCUGGGCUUAGAGGAUGAUCAGCCACACUGGAAAUGAGACACGGUCCAGAAUCAGACGGGAGGCAGCAGUGGGGAAUAUUGGGCAAUGGGCGCAAGCUUGACCCAGCCAUGCAGCGUGAGUGAUGAAGGCCUUCGGGUUGUAAAGCUCUUUCGCCGAUGAAGAUAAUGACGGUAGUCGGAGAAGAAGCCCCGGCUAACUUCGUGCCAGCCGCCGCAGUAA
rnacentral:rRNA from 1 species